AUGGAGGAGGUGAGCGCCGAGGCCGCGGCCAUGGCGAGCGGCGUCGGGCCGGAGGGCGCGACGAUGAAGGUGGUGGCCGCGGUGGACGCGAGCGAGGAGAGCCUGCACGCGCUGUCGUGGGCGCUCGACAACGUCGUCCGGCCCCACCCCGGCGCGUCCCUCGUCGUCGUCCACGUCCAGCCGCGCGCCGACCACUUGGCCUACCCUGUCGCCGGGCACGGCCUACAGUACGUCCCGCCCACGGCGGUGGACUCCGUGAGGAAGACGCACGAGGAGAACUCCCGGCGAGUCGUGUCCGUCGCGCUCGACGUGUGCAGGCAGAAGCAGGUGAGCGCCACGGCGGCGGUGGUGGAGGGCGACGCCAAGGAGGCCAUCUGCCGCGCCGUGGAGGACAUGCACGCCGACCUCCUCGUCCUCGGCAGCCGCGGCCUGGGCAUGAUCAAGAGGGCGUUGCUGGGCAGCGUGAGCGACUACCUCGCCCAUCACGCCUCCUGCCCCGUUCUCAUCGUGAAGCCGCCCAACAAGGCGCACCACAAGUGA
rnacentral:rRNA from 1 species